rnacentral:rRNA from 1 species
UACAGAGGUCCCAAGCGUUGUUCGGAUUCACUGGGCGUAAAGGGUGCGCAGGUGGGUUGGCAAGUUCGAUGUGAAAGCCCCGGGCUUAACCCGGGAAUGGCAUUGGAUACUGUUGAUCUGGAGGGUCGGAGGGGGGACUGGAAUUCUUGGUGUAGCAGUGAAAUGCGCAGAUAUCAGGAGGAACACCAACGGCGAAGGCAGCUCUCUGGGACGUUACUGACGCUGAGACGCGAAAGCGUGGGGAGCAAACAGG